rnacentral:rRNA from 1 species
AGCGAACGCUGGCGGCAGGCCUAACACAUGCAAGUCGAACGAACCUUUCGGGGUUAGUGGCGGACGGGUGAGUAACACGUGGGAACGUGCCUUUAGGUUCGGAAUAACUCAGGGAAACUUGUGCUAAUACCGAAUGUGCCCUUCGGGGGAAAGAUUAAUCGCCUUUAGAGCGGCCCGCGUCUGAUUAGCUAGUUGGUUGAGGUAAUGGCUCACCAAGGCGACGAUCAGUAGCUGGUCUGAGAGGAUGAUCAGCAACAUUGGGACUGAGACACGGCCCAAACUCCUACGGGAGGCAGCAGUGGGGAAUCUUGCGCAAUGGGCGAAAGCCUGACGCAGCCAUGCCGCGUGAAUGAUGAAGGUCUUAGGAUUGUAAAAUUCUUUCACCGGGGACGAUAAUGACGGUACCCGGAGAAGAAGCCCCGGCUAACUUCGUG